GUGACGAUGUCUGCAGUUAGGAGUGGGAUGUUCGUUUUACUGGCGAUGGCUCUGUUUUUCAUGACUGACACUUGCGCCAUGACAUCGUGUGGCAGUGUGUGUCGUACUUCUCAGGCUGGAGUGGUGACCAGCUGUCCUAGGGGCUGCAAGUGUGUUAUGGAGGCCGAAAGCAGCUUCGGAGGUGGCAUAGGGAGAUGUCAGCGGACUUUCAGCUGACAGGGGCGAGACCCCUAUACAUUUGUCUUUGUCGACAAAUAAACGAAGGAUGAAGAAAAAUGAUGAAGAAACAUAAUUUGCAUGAUACCCUCCUGC